GAAACGAAUCAAAACGACUCUCGGCAACGGAUAUCUCGGCUCUUGCAUCGAUGAAGAACGUAGCGAAAUGCGAUACUUGGUGUGAAUUGCAGAAUCCCGUGAACCAUCGAGUCUUUGAACGCAAGUUGCGCCCAAAGCCAUUAGGCCGAGGGCACGCCUGCCUGGGUGUCACACAUCGUCAUCCCCAUGCAAAAGCGCAUCGGGGCGAAAGGUGGCCUCCCGCGACACACCCGUCGUGGUUGGUCGAAAACCAAGGUAACGUCGGGGUCCCCCCCGCCAGAAACGGUGGAUGAGCAACGCUCGAGACCAACGGUGGCGGCGGACACUCGGCAAUCCAAUCGAUCGACCCUAUGGCGUUCCUUGCAUAAUAAACAGGCAAAGACGCUCUUAACGAGACCUCAGGUCAGGCGGGGCUACCCGCUGAGUUUAAGCCUAUCAAUAAGCGGAGGAAAAGAAACUAACAAGGAUUCCCUUAGUAACGGCGAGCGAACCGGGAACAGCCCACCAUGAGAAUCGGUCGCCCCUGGCGUUCGAAUUGUAGUCUGGAGAAGCGUCCUCAGUGGCGGACCGGGCCCAAGUCCCC
rnacentral:rRNA from 1 species